UGAUGAGGACGAGGUGGACUCUAAGAAGAAUUGAUUCUACCCUUGCUCUGCUACAGAACCUCAUCGCCUUAAUUUUGCAGAAGUUCAUCUGCAUCCUGAAGUGCUGGUGCUAAAAAAUGAGGAGCAAUUCCCUCAGUAAGGGUGGUGCUGGGGGCGUCCCUCAGAGCAAAGGAGAGCAAAGGCAGUGUUGGGUUGCAUGGCUUCCACCUCUGCCCUCAGAGUGGAAUUUGGGAGCUCUGUGGGGCACCCAGUGCUCCUUGUUUGCCUGGCCUCACAUCUCAGCAGCAACCUGGGCAAACCUCUGCUCUUGGUGCCUCUGCUGUGCCCCAGACACCACAGGCACAAGUAAUUUUGGUUCAUUCACACUCUGUGUCUGCUCUCCGACAGAAGACGGUGACACGACAGGACUGGUGACACAAGGCUCUUACUGUUACAUUCAAUAAUUGAUUCUCCUGGAUGGAUUGUGACUCCCUAAAGGUUGCAAAGAGAGAAAGAGCUGAAUUAUCCUGCUACUUACCAAGACGAGAAAAACAGCAUAAGAGCAUUAUGGGCAUGCUUUGGAUUCACACUGGAUCCUGGAAGCAGAAUUGUCCCCUGUGGAUGCAGAAGUAUCAUGGUAACUCCCCUCAGAGUAUUGAAGAAGCACGUCAGUGGCUGCUGGGUGAGUGUCCCCUGAAUCAGCUGCUGUUCAGCAGAAUCCCAGUUUCAAAAUGCAGAGGGGACAGAACUCAGCCACCAUUCUUUGCUGUGUUGUGAACAUGUACAGUCUGUUUCUUCUGGAAUAACCCCAAAUGAAAGGAUGUCAGGAUUGCAUUUUUCCUGGAUGUGUGGAUCAGGCUUUCCCCCAUCUGACAUCAGCUGAGACCAAGGUGCAGGAUUUCAGCUGGCGUGGAUCCAACCAGAUCAGCACUGCAGAGCCAGCUGAGCUUAACUGGACUGUGCUGGAAACCUAAAAGUGAUGGAGCUGCCAGGGAAACAGCACGGGUUCCUGCAAUGGAGAAGACACAGGGACAGGAGAACCUCCAAAUGUUUUGUUCCACUGAAUUGCCAAGAACAGGAACUCCAUAAUGAAGGAGGUUAUCAUCCAGGAGUGAUACCCAGCUUGUUUUUAAACCUGCAAAGGGAAGAUACUGUGAACAAAGCAGUGAUGGCUCUCAGGCUCCUCCCCAGGCACCAGGAGAGCACCUCAGCACAGUUUCCACAUGUCGCUCAGUCAGAUUCUCUGCUAGCAAGACUGAGAGACGAAUAACAUAUGUUACCCCACAACUGACCUUGAAGGGGGAACUGAAGAAACCAUCUUCCCUAGGGCUGAGAUGUAAUUCAGACACGAGCUUGCUCCGUUGAGGUCCUUUUCUGAAAAGACACUGCCAACUGCAUCGUGAGCCCUGGAAACCUUCCUGCCUGCAUGGAAGGAGCAGAGUGUGGAGUGUGUACCAGGGGGAUGUUGAGGAUUCAGCCUUCUGUGCCAUCCCUCCCUCGGCUCUCAUAAGCAAAGCAAACAAAUUCUUUGUGUCUUAGAAGAUUUAGAUAAUUCAGCCAACUUGAGCGGUUUCCUCGCAGGCCUGGCUUUUCACCUGAGGGACUAGGUUUGCUGAUCCUGCCCAGGUUGAAGUGACUGAAAAUCAAUGUGGUUUGACAGCUGUGGGAAAAAAAUAAAUAAAUGGAUGUACAGACCAUUGAGCAACAAAGACUCUUCAAGAGGAUGCGAAGUGAGGCACAAAAAGAAACUCUUGUCUCUGAUCUUUACAGGCUCUUGAUUCAGGACAGUCUGGCCAGUCACAGCCCUGUCUGAUAAGGUUGGUCUGACUCUUCCAUGGUGUUUUCCACCUCCUCACACAUUGUGCUCAGGAAGAAGCCACAGGAGGGCUGUUCAGCUCUCCCCUGUCCUUGGCUGGCUGAGCUGGGCACGUCAAACAGGAGAUGGGAGAUGGAUGUGUCUGCAUUGCCUGAGCCUGGGGGUUGCAGCCUGGCAUGGUGGUGCCCACUGCUGAGCUCUGUUUGCCUUUGAGACAGCAAAAUGUGGAAUUCCUCACCCGUGGAGCCCAGCUCCUGAGGACAGCUGGGUGGGGAGGGUGUGUUGGGGGUGGCACUGUGGAAUGAAGGUGUUGUGAGAGCAGGAAGGGGCAGUAAUGCCAAGCUGCAGGUUGGACCCACUUGCAUUCAUCUCCUGGGCCAGUGCUCCAGAGCAAGGCCUGAAAGGCAAGUCUAGGUUUAGCUCAGAGUCAGUUAUCUUGUCACAGCCACGGGGAUGCUCAGAAGCUGCUGAAUUUAGACACCUCCAUGCCAGAGGCUCCUUCUCUGCCUGUCACCCCCCACAGACAUCAGCUUUCCUGGUCCUGCCACCCACCAUUGACCUCAGGAGUUCGUAGAACCCUCCCUUUUCCCCCCAGUAUCACUUCUUUCUUUGGGGAAUGUGAUCACUCUGUUCCCUACAGGAAUUCAGAAUUGGAUUACGUCUUUGAAGAAUUUGGGCAACAUUCUCAGUCACAUGGUGUGAUUCUUGGGGCUGUCCUGUGCAGGGCCAGGAACUGAAGAUCUUUGUGGGUCCAUUCCAGCUCGGGAUAUUCUCUUAUUCUGUUAUUUUCCCCGAAGGCUGAGCAGUUUGGGAGGGGGCAGUCUGUGUGAGCAGGUAUCAGAGGCUGCCUCCUUAGCUUGGUGUCACCCUCUGGUGAAAUCUCAUAUCCACAUGGAAUUGCAGCACAGAGAGGAGAUAAAUGUUACAUUCAGCAUGACUUGCCAGUUCUGACACACAGAACACUAAACACGUACCCUGACAAAAUCCUAAAGUCACGCCAGUUUGAAUCCAAAAACCUGCCUGCUCAGUUAGCACUUAGUAACAACUUCAUAUCAUUUUCCCCAUGUAAUUAAAGUGUCUUUCCUGAGCCAAAAAAAUGAAAUUUUCUUUACAGUAGGCAAUUCUUAUGUAAAACAACUUUUCUCUUUAGUUUCUGUCCAUUUAAUGUAAGAUUUUAGUUGUGUUUGGAGACGUCCAUUUCGGGAGUUAUGACAUUUUUUAUCCUGGUACUGUGGUUGUGGGGAAGGAGGAAACUCUACUUGGAUUUCAGCUGGAACCAGUAUCAGUUCAAGCUCUAGAUUCAGAAAAUGUUUCCAAGGUUUAUGGAUACCUCUGGCUGGCAAUGGAUACAGGUAAAGUAUCACCAGUGAAGUUUUUGGGAAGGUUUGUUAAUGCCCAUGGCAUCCCAGUCAUACCUUCUGUCAUGACUUCUCUGUUACGGGGAGGUGAACAGGGUCAUGUACACAUUUUCUCAAUGUUUUCAUACUGUAGGUUUGAAAAUAUAAAGACAACUUGUCAUCUGGAGUUCAAGAUCCAGGGACUUAAUGUCCCAUGUGGGUUUGAUUUUGACUGUUUUUUCCUUUUUUAGAGCUCACCCAUGACUCUUGCUCUCCAGCAGCACUCAGCAGCUCCUGGGAGACCUGGAGCUCUCCGUGGUCAUCCCCUUCAGCCAGUUUGGGGUGUAGAAAUCUUCCCCUUGUUCCUUUCCCCCUUCACUUCUUCUCCAAAGAGCUGCAUUUCAUUUAGUGCCACUUUUGGAAAUGUGGGUUCCCGUGAUCUCUCAGAUGUGCCAACUGGCAUUACAGGUCAGGGUUUUGGUCACCACCCUAAAAAUGGACUUAUUGGCAAAGGAACAAAGCUCAGAAAAUAACAUUUUAAACCUGUCAAGUCUGAUUUACAGAAACCCUCCAUGAUCUAGAAAAGAAACAAGCAAUGAUUGCGUUCUACUCCACCCUAAUUUUAAUUAUAAAAAUUGCUAGUAUAGUUUUCCAGUUGACAUCCCUGUAUAGGAAAUAAGUAGAGUUGGAGUAAAUCUUCCAAAUAAACAUAUUUCUCAGACAUAAACAUGAUAAAUCUUUUCUUUUGAGAAAGAUAUAAAGAAUGGUUAACUUAAAAUAUGCAUAUAAUAACAUAUUACCCGCAGCUUCUCAUGUUUAAAAAGAUUCCAUAUGCUGGGAAAACCCAUAAAAUAAAACCCAAGAAAUGCUGCAUCCUCUUUCUAUUAAUUUGAAACAGCCACUUAAUGGGAAAAAGGAAAAGAGAGAAAAAAUAAAGAAAACUGGUAGAACAGAAUUAUUUUAUUUUUUCUUAGAAAAUCCCAAACAAACCAGUAACUCCAACAUUCCAAUCUCUUCAUCCUGUUUUUAGUGGUGUAUUAAUAUGUAAACUCAAUACUUCUGUUGAAAAAUAGCUCUGGGUAAGGAAAAAAUGGUAGCAAAUUCCAGGGUGGCCUUACUAGCAUUUUUGAUUGAAAAAACUUGGAAAAAUGUUGUUUUAGGAUGAUGAGAAGUGCUGCCAUCUCUUGUGGUUUACCCAGGAUUGUCCCAAAUUUGACUGUUGUCUCUGGUUUGGUUUAAAACCCAAAAAGGGGCCAGUAACCGUGGCUCCCUCUCUUCCCCGUUCCUGCCCCACAUUUAAUGAGUAAUUGAUUUUAAAAUAGUCCCACUGAAGAAGAUUUCUGUUGAAGUACCAUGGAUGAAAGAGUCUACUUUUCCUAUUUAUUUAUUUUUUUAGAGGUGUUUAUAUCUCCAAAAGGUGUGUUCCAUCUGACUGUGGGCUGCAGAGCUGGGGAACAGACUGGGGCUAGCAGGACCUGGCUCUGGGCUGAUUAUUCUUUCGACUUGGUUUACAAACUGGAGAAAAUAAUUUGUAUUUCACUUCGUUUGUUAUUCCCCACUGUUUUAUCAGAUAUUUUCACAUGGAGAACACUUGAUAGACAGAUGCUGGUCACUCCCUGGACAGGACACACAGAGCUGUUCCUCCAAGGAGCAGAGCAGAGUCCAAGGCUUUCAAGACCUUUCAAGACACCAGCGUGGGGAUGGGGAUUGUCCUGUUUUACAUCACAGCCCAAUGGUCAGAGCCCUUCCUUGCAACCUGUUUUCAUCUGUCUGCCUUCAGUUUGGGUUAUUUCCACUUCUCAUACAUCACUGUCCUGUGAAACUUUUGAUCAGUGGCUGCCCCAUCCCUGGAAGUGUUUAAAGCCAGACUGGAUGGGGCCCUGAGCACCCUGGUGCAGCAGGAGGUGUCCCUGCCCUGGCAGGAGGUGGAACUAGAGGAGCAUGAAGGUCCCUUCCAACCCAAACUUUUCUGUGGUUCUAUGCCAUCUGUGUUUUGGCUUUCCAAGGGGUAGAAGCACCCACCGGCUUCAAAUUCAAGGCUCCUCAUCCCUGAGAGGCCACGAGGCUGAGCAGAGCUGGGGACAGCCAGGCAGGGAACGGGGAGCUGCACAAACCCACGCCCUGUGCUGAGCCCCUGCCCUCAGACAGGAGCUUUAACCAGCCCAGGGUCAGCCAGGCAGGGCUUUCCCAGCUCAAUUCCCCCUCUGUGCCCCUGAGGGGCUCACCUGUGCCUGUGCUGGAGGGGUUAAAGAGGGCUGGGCCAGGCUCCAGCUGUGUGCACAGCUCUGGGGACCGGGCUGGGCCAGCUGUGAGUUCAGCUUUCCCCCCAGUCAGCUAGAAAAGGGCUGUGUCUCCUGCACUGGGAUUAGCACGGGGGGAGGCAGGUUUUUGUCAUAGGGAAGGAGGUGGAAAAAACCCCGUGUUUGACUGAUUCCUUGCUGAGCAGUGUCUGGGGAGGGUCUGGGCUGUGCAAAGCUGUCCUGAGAGGAGCUCUCUUGGCAGAGGGGUUAAGAGAAGCCUGACCCGCUGACUCCUUCACUUAACAUCCAGGCUGGGAGAUGCUUGUUUAGCCCAAAAUUUUGGGUGAGGCAGUCAGCUGGAGUUCAAGAUCCAGGGACUUAAUGUCCCAUGACUGAGCGUAGCUUGUUUGACCUGUAGUGCAGAUCUUGAGGAGAGGGAGCAGGAGUGUUUUUAUGGUAUGUGCUGAGCCUGCUCUCCCUGACUCAAACAGCUCCUGGAAAAUGAAUAAUUGAACAUACAUGUGACUAUGUAUAGACCCUUCUUCAAACAGAACCUCAAAUGGGGCAGAAUAUCUUCCAACUUCAUAGACUUUUUCUCCUGCUAACUGCACAGGACUGGCCAUAGAAUCUGUAGGGAGAUGGCUGCAUGGCAGGGAGCAGGCUUUUCAGCCCACGCUUUCCAGUCUGAGAAGUGGCCUUCAACUCUGAAUUCUUUAAGCUAAGCAGUGUGGUGAAUUUCUGCCUUCAAACCGAGCUGGAGUAGAAGGAAAAAACAAAUUAAUUUGGAUUAGUUUCUUUUUUUAAUAUUAUUUGCCAAGCCACACUGCUCCCUGCUAAAAUCAAGUGAUGUUACUAUUGGCACAGUGGGUUUAAACUCACUACUGGGUUUUGCAUGUUUUAGUAAAGGAUGAAACUGAUUGAAUGAGAUUGUCUAUUAGUUGCAGUAGAUCAGCAGUUUCUUCUUUGUAGUGAUGCAACUGAUUGUUUGCUGAAUAAUACAGUGAGAAUAGACUCAGCAUGCAAACCCUAUAACUGUCUGAAGAAAAAGCAAUGUCCUUUUUUCCCCAAUUGCUUCCAAGCCAGUAGCUGCUUCCAAUACUCCUGUAUCCAGUGCAAGCUCAGUGCUGUUCAAAGCACACAUCUACUAUUUGUCAAGAACUGUAAUUGUUAGUAGAGAAGGAUGUUGAGGAAAGCAGAGUGGAAACAGCAUAGGAGGGCUGUUUGAGGAACCCCCUGGGCUGCAUUUUGGGGUAGCUUGGUUUGAUUCCUGGCUCUGCUACAUCCUUCUCCUGUGACCUUGGAAAAGUCUCUCAGUCUGCUAAGUCUCAGUUCUACACAGGUGUAAAAAGAGGCACCAUUUUGUAUGCAGUAUACACCAAAUAAAUGCCUAUACUAUGUAUUAGAUGCAUUCCUGUAUUAAGUGGUAAAGCAAGAACCAAUUCUGCAAAGACUUGUGUGAUGCCCAGGAUCCUGAUUUCACACUGCAGCAAUGGAAGUGCAAAGCUCAGAUUAAUUCUGUCCUUCUAAUUCUUGACAAAGUUUGUUAUUUGAAUGCUGAGUUUAAGUAGAUGCUUAUUUUUAGCCUGUACAUUAAUGGGCGAGGGAAUGAAAGGGGGGGGAUCUCCCACACCAAGGUUGGUUGUUUUUUUUUUUUUUCAAUGUAAAUACAUGUUGGACAAAUAAAGAGUUCUUACCACUCAUAAGGUGUUACGGUAAUCCUUCACACGGUCCUUUUAAUGAAUAAACCAGGGAUGCUUCAUGAGUCGUUUAUUAAGGGUUAAUGAUGUAUCUUCUCUCCUUGGCAUCAUUCCCAGCCUAAAUCAAGCCUGCUUCAUCUCAUAUGGAUAUGAAAGACAAACUGUACAGAUUGAAAACAUCUGUAUACUGAGUGAAUGAACCACAUGGCAGCAGUGUCAUGCA